rnacentral:misc_RNA from 1 species
GGAAGUAAAAGUGUAACAAGGUUUCCGUAGGUGAACCUGCGGAAGGAUCAUUAUUGUAUAACCGAGGUGCGAGGGCUGUCGCUGACCCGAAAGGUCGUGCACGCCCGAGUGCCCUCACACACAUCCAUCUCACCCCUAUGUGCACCACCGCGUGGGUCCCCCUUUGGCUUGUUCGGAGGGGGGCUUACGUUUUCACACAAACUUUGUAUGCAGUGUAGAAUGUAUUUUUUGUUUUUGCGAUCACGCAAUCAAUACAACUUUCAACAACGGAUCUCUUGGCUCUU